rnacentral:rRNA from 1 species
GACAGAGGGGGCAAGCAUUAAUCGGAUUUAUUGGGCGUAAAGAGCGCGCAGGCGGGUUUUUAAGUCAGACGUGAAAUCCCGGGGCUCAACCCCGGAACAGCAUUUGAAACUAAAAAUCUUGAGGGUAGUCGGAGAAAAUGGAAUUCCACGUGUAGCGGUGAAAUGCGUAGAUAUGUGGAAGAACACCGGUGGCGAAGGCGAUUUUCUAGAUUAUUCCUGACGCUGAGGCGCGAAAGUAAGGGGAUCAAACAGG